rnacentral:sRNA from 1 species
ACAAACACGUUUCAGUUGAUGUCACUUCUUGACCCUGAGCUACUAAAAAGACUUUUCAUUCCCCCCUCUGCUCUCUGAAUAGUGCAGCGAAUACCUAAGAAAAUGAGUACCGAGAGCUAGCAUUCCUACGCCUGAUCUAUGUGUGACGUGUUCCACACAUAUCAAGCGAAUGUAUCUCUCAAGAAGAGUCCCCGAGGAUAGGAAGCACCUGUUGAUCUCUUUACGCGUCAUCCGCCAGUCUAUCUCUGAGGUGGAACUCUGUUGACUACGAGCAUACAGGUGGUUGAGGACUUUCUCACUUUCUCGGCAAGACUUAUGGGCUAUCCUCAAACUCUGUGGAUCGGAUGGAACUCUACUUCCCAUAAUCGCGUUGAACCAAUGCUAACUAGACGUGCCGCGUUACAGACCCUUCUCUCCUUAAAGACUAAGAGAGAACAUGAAUCAAAGUCUGCAAAUCCUCAUGAUAUUCUCUGAGAAUUGACCGAUAACUGAUGCAAGCGAAAUAUCUUAAGUCGCCCUUCUUUCGAUAAACACGCUGACUUGAGGAAAGGCAUUCAAACAGCGGAGGAAUCUACGUUCGGGAUCCCUUUUUAUUAUCUAUGUAUGAAAAGGUGCUUUCAAUUGAACAUACUUUGUGUGUGCUGGGCCAACAUCAAUUUUAUUCAACCCCAUCCAGGCAUCGAAGAAAGAAGAAAUAAACAAAAGAUUGCAACAGCGUGACAAUCGAUAAGCUCAUUGGACAAGGUAACUAUGUUGCACAGGAACCUGAGCGUCUGCUGAGCCUUUACCGCGAUGGAUGGUUGGUCGGUUAUACCCUUCCGAUAUCACAGCUACCAACCCAUGGAUCGCGCACUAGUGUCGACUGGGGCGUUGUUGAUUAGAAAGGGUUGGGCAAAAUAAACACCAGCAGGCGUUGUCGGGAUUCCCUUGGAGGUACGGAGGAGUAAUCGCACCAAAAUAUAGUGCCUAACGAUCGCUUUGGUUUGAGAGAAAAAGGAGUACAGCGUAA